rnacentral:misc_RNA from 1 species
CAUGAUUACCUUUUCAACAAACUGUGAACUUUAAAUUUUACUAUUCGUGUACGAAUAACUUUUAGUUAUUUGAUACACUGUCAUUCGAUGAACAUUAGAUAGCUGGCUUGUUUUCAACAAACUUUCUCAGCUGAUUGUUUUGUACUGACUAAACAUCUUACAACAAUCACCAAUAAACAUAGUAA